UUGGCAGUGGAUGUUAGCUCAGGGCAAAUCUUCCUCAGCAAAAAAAAUAUAAUAAAAAAAUUUAAAAAGUAAUCGAAUAACUACCUUUCCUAGGCAACUAAGUUAAGAAAAAUAAAAAAUCCGCAGUUACUAAAUAUUUUCAAGGAGUCAGUCACAGAUACCACAUGCAGCACAGAACAAUGACUGAAUGAUAUUAUCUUCAGAUGUUUUUCAUCCAAACUAAUGGACAUUUAAUGAGCACCUAAUGCAUGCCAGGCCCUACACUGGGUGCUAAAAACACAAAAUGCUAAGACACAGAUCCCACACUCCAGUUCUCUGUCUAGUCAAGGAGGCCGGCACUAUGAUGAACAUUAUUAUAAAAUAUAUAUAUACAGACCCCAAUCCUUUAUCUCCAAUUCCAAAAAUCUAAAAGUCUAAAAAUUAAAAACUGUUUUCUAAGUUGUCAACAAAACAUGGCCUAACUAAUGUGAAGCUUUUUAUAGUCUUUUUUUAUUCUACUUAGUGUGAAUAUGUAUAAUUUUGCUGGGAAAAUUAAUGCGUAUGAUUUUGGGGUGACUGCUCCUAUCCACAGGAGGAUUCACGAUAUACAGCAUAUGCACCAUAUUAAUUUUCUAAAUUCCAAAAACUUUUUACAUCUGAGACACACAUGCCACCAUGGGUUUCAGAAAAGAGGUUGUAGACCAGGUCUGGAGGAUGCAAAGAAAGAUGAAUUAUUUCAAGGAGCAAAGGAGUCAACUGAGGAAGUAAAAGUUAUAGUCAGAGAAGCCUUCAGAAAAAAGGCUGUCUUGUUCUAGGCUUCACAACACCACACGUGAAAAUUUUAAACCAAUCCUUUCAUAAAACUACCAAAGACAUCUUUUAUUAUUUCUACAGCCUUACGGCCUUGUUUUGAAAGAUCUGAGCUGCCAAACCAUAUUUACACAUAUUUCAUUCUCCAAACAGAUAAGAGCAUUACUAUAUACCAACUCUGUAUUUUCAUCAAAAAGUAAAAACUUUGUCUUCUUGGCCCAUACAGCUUUAUACCAAAUAAAUGUACAAUUUCCAUUAAGUUCAUUCAAAUAUAGUCAGUCUUGAUUACAUGGAUAGGAUCAACCACACUCCAGAUUAUCCAUAGUACAACAUAAUAUUUAACACUUACAAUGAUAGCAUUAACUAUCUAAGCAUUUUACAUAUAUAUGUAUAUAUUAAUAUAUUAUGUUAAUAAGGACACAUUCAGUCCAUAACAGAGAUCAUUUGGUGGAGCAGUUUCCAAAUAUUUUUAAAUCCAUUUGAGAGCUGAGUAGAUCAAUUCACAGUGAUACCAUAACAAAACAUCUUAUUUCAAGUCAGUGAAAUUAAGAAAAUCAUCCCAGCACAGCUUCCAUAAAUGAAAAUUAAUCAUGAAAAACCCUUACACCAAAAUGGCUAGCUUCAGAUGAUAUGCUUAUCUACCUGGAAAAUGUAAGAAUUAACUGAAUGUGUUAUAUACAUAGAUAUGUAUAUGUUACACACACACACACACACACACUCAUUUAAUCCUCAAAACAACUUCCCCCUCCCACAACAGCCCCCAAUAACAACCUCUAAUUUCUCAAGUUCUAGCACACACUCAGUAUAUUACUGCCAUUCUAAUCAUUUGUCCAUGUUAAGAAAAUUGCCUUAUACUAGUGUACAAGCACCAUUCCCCAGACUGGUGCUGAUUCAGGACAAAGCUUUCAGGGGUCUGGGACAAAAAGGGGGUGGGGCAUGGACGAUAUAUUAAUUUUCUUACGAAACACAAGUCAUUCAACUUAAAAUAUCAUACUUUAUUCUGAGGUUGUCCUCACUUUUUCAAUGUUAAAAUAUGAUAACAGUGACCAAUGCUUAGUUUUUUUAUUGCCCUUACUGGCCAAAUAAAAAGUCAGUAACCCAGUGAAUCCCCCUAAAAACCCUAAGUGUUAGGAUAACAUAGAAUAAAUCUACCAUGUAUGCAUGGAGGGGUGGAGGACAGGCAUAGGCAGGAAAUGAAGAACUGAAACUUGCGGGGUCAAAGGGAAGCAGACACUACUUUUACAUGUAACAGUGACAUACAAAUUUAGAAAGAGACUGGUCCAGCAAACAAAAUAAAGCUUUGCAAAUUUCAGUCUCUUAUUCAGAAAAGAUCACAAGUAUUGAGGCAGUUCCUCAUUUUAAAGCAAGAUAAAAUGGGAGAAAUAAAAAAAGAUGAUAAAUUUGAACUUUAAAAUGAAAGCAAAGCUCAUAAUUCUCAACAAUUCUAGGAAAAAGGGAUUUAAAAGAGUAUCAUUAUUUGAUUUUCUUCUAAAAAAGCAGCCUAGGGAAGAUCAUUAAAAGCACGGGCUCUAGAUAGCCAGCGGGCCACAAUCCCAGCUCUGCAUUAGCUCUGUAAACCUGAACAUGUGACUUUUACCCUCUUUCUGCUUCAAUUCCUUAAAGGAUUAAAUGAGUUAGGAUAAGAAAGGUGCUUAUAACAGUGCCCGGGACUUAGUAAGUGCUUCAAAAGUAUACUGUCCUAAAUAUUAUUUAAUAACGUGAAGAAACAAUGGUAAAGUAAGGAUCAGAAUGAAGAUUACAAAAGUUAUGUUACUAAAAGUACUUGAUGUUAUACUUCCAUAAAGUUUUUUUAAAAGUAGAAUCAUUUUUACGUAAAGUAUAUGAGGUUAUGUGUGACACUUUUAUUUACUUUUCAACUUAAAUUGUUUAAAAAAUUACAUUAGGAAAAAAUCUGAAUCCCGUUAACGAUACCCUCAACAGGUAGAGACACUUGAUUGCUUGUAAGUUUGUGUCCAAGGCUCAGGAACGCACUACUCAACUGACAGCUGUAUUUGAGCGAGUGAGAGACAAGACCAGACACUCAAUACUUCCACCAAGAAAAGAAACUUUCAUCCCAGCAGUGCAUUCAGAGACAUAAGAUUCAUAACCUAUAGUUAAAAAACCUAACUACCCAUAGAUGAGCAAGUCAAGUACCCCAAGCUUCCAUAGAAAACAGACAGACCAAGUAAUGCAGGCACCACACAGCAAGCAGACCUGGUACCUGCACUCUUCCUGGGUGGGGCAGCUCCUCAAGUUCUGCUGGCCCCUCCCAUAGGACGCUGACUGCCUGCUCACACCACAUAAGGGAUCUCCCUAAAGCAACCUUUCUCAGUUCAUCCUGCUAUUUGCCUUCUCUCAAACCACCUCUACACCCAGGGUGAAUUAUUAAAAGGCACCUGUUCUGUGAUACAUCAUUUUAUGUCUUAGCACACAAGUUAUCUACAUCCUUGCUCCUCAAUAAUGGUUCUUUGUCCAGCAGCUUUUAAGAGGAGCUUAUAAGAAAUGCAGACUAACAAACUGCAUCACAGAUCUACACAAUCAGAAUCUGCACUUUUAAACAAGAGUCCUAAGGGAUUAAACAAGAGUUCUAUGCACAUUAAAGUUUGAGAAGCGCUGCUCUGUAUGACUUGACUGCAGAUAGAUGUAAAAUUUUAAAUUUUACAUUUGAAUUUAGAGAUACGGUAUGAAAAUUACCAAGACGUGGAAUCAGAAAAGCUCAAUAAAAGAAAUAACCAACACAUAAGUGAAUUUCUUUACUACUUAUAUCAAGUGUUCAAAAGUUCAUUUCAACAAUGUCUACAUUUAACGCUUCCUGCUUUAUAUCAGUAUUUUGUGCAAAAGCACACCACCAGUAAUACAGAGUUUUAGUGGGACUAUAUUUUGUUGUGCAAAGACUACCAAAAACUGACUAGGUUUAGAAAUUUCAGAACAAUCUAGCCUAAAGGUGUGCAACCUGCAUGCUAAAAUUUUGAGAUUUAGUCCAAAUCAGAGUUGACAAAUGAAACUCUUUCCAAAAAGCUAUUAUUCAGAAAAAAUCUAAAGGAUGUAAACUUUAAACAUAAAUCAUAUUUCUGGAAGGAAAACUCUAUACCAGCUAGUAAUGAACAAACUGCAGGACACGUGUAGAACCGAAAACUGUUUUGGAGGCUUGUGUUCCUUUUUCCAGGAAGAGGAGGGGGAACAAAAAUCAACUUCCACCCUCUGUAAAGUUCUUCGCAUAUCCUGAAAGCCCUCAAUUUGCACGUUGUUAAGGGGAAGCAGCAUGUAAGAAAUCCAAAUACUGUAAGACUACCAUGCUGUGAGACAUCUAACCUAGCCACCUGUAGAGGCUAAAUGGAGGAAAACCGAGGUCUCUGGCUAACAUCCCAAGCUGUGUUCCCACUGGACACAGCACCAACCUGCCACACAUGUGAGUGAGUGCCAUCUUGGAAGUGAAUUCUCCAGCCCUAGUCAAGUCCCCCCAGCUGACGCCACAUGGAGCAGAGACGAGCUGUUGUCCACCAUACCCAAACUGUGGAACUGUGGACAAAUAAAUAAAAUUGUUCUGUUAAA